AUGUGGAGGUAGCGAUAGUGUUCAUGGGGGGCAGAGUGUGUCAUCAUGCUAUCUUGUAAGUUCAGACACCAGCAGGAGGAAGGGGAAAACCCAACAUCAGCCCCCA